UCUGGUGAUUAUGGUGCUGAGGUCACACCUGUUCCCAUACCGAACACAGAAGUUAAGAUCAGCUACGCCGACGAUAGUAUAAUGCGAAAAUAGGAAGUUGCCAGUC
rfam:Spiroplasma corruscae strain EC-1 chromosome, complete genome.